UACGAAGGGGGCUAGCGUUGUUCGGAAUCACUGGGCGUAAAGCGCACGCAGGCGGAUUGAUAAGUCAGGGGUGAAAUCCCGGGGCUCAACCUCGGAAUUGCCUUUGAUACUGUCUGUCUUCGAGUUCGGGAGAGGUUGGCGGAAUUCCUAGUGUAGAGGUGAAAUUCGUAGAUAUUAGGAAGAACACCAGUGGCGAAGGCGGCCAACUGGCCCGAUACUGACGCUCAUGUGCGAAAGCGUGGGGA
rnacentral:rRNA from 1 species